rnacentral:rRNA from 1 species
CACAAACAACUGACGCCUGAGAAAAAUAAACAGCUGAUACCAUCAGAACAGGCUGGUGCUCUCAUGAGAGUGGUAAUCGAAGGAACUGAUGAAGUAAAUGAGACAAUGCAUGAUAGAGACCAAAACAGUGAAAUUGUUCCAUAUAGUCCAAGUGCAACUUUAAUGAAUCAGUAUCCUUCGGCCAGCUAUCAACCAUCAGCAUUUCUGUUUGAGAGAGUUAUAUUGCAGAAAAGACCUGAGGAAUGUAUCCAUGAUCUGGCUGUUGCUACCCAUAAUGAGAAAAUAGCAGAAACACAAGUUUCCCCUCCACUUCCUAAGGAGAGAAAAAAACGAAAAGUUGAUCCAAGCUCCCAAGUAGAUGGGGAUGUUGAAAUUGUGCCAAGAAGAAAAAGAAAAAAUGAAGCAAAUCCAGCAGUAUUUGAUUUGCCCUCAGAACCUUACAAUCCUCUGGGGUAAGACGAGCCUAUGGAGGAAGAUGUGCCUAUGGGGGAAGAUGAGCCUAUGGAGGAAGAACAUAUACAAGAAAAGGAAAGUGAUGGUCCUGAAGAUUUUUGCAAUGAGUACUCAGUGGCAAUUGAAAGCUCUAAGCUCGACACACUUGAAGAGGCAGCCAAUGAGAAAGAGGUGAACAACGUCUGCAAUCAUGAAAUGCAGAUUCAUGAAGAUCUGGGCCAUGUAUGCCGUGUCUGCGGUAUGAUUGUGAGAAGGGCUGACACAAUCAUUGAUUAUCAGUGGAGAAAGGCAUCAAGGUCAAGAUCAUAUUUCUCUGAAAAGCGUUCAAAGGAUUCUGAUGAGAUUGUCACUGCUGAUAAAUCUUAUCAAUCCCAAAUCAGUAUUUGUUCAUUCCCUAUUCAUCCAAGACAUGAAAAGCAAAUGAGACCACAUCAGUUGGCAGGUUUCCACUUUCUGGUUAAGAAUAUAGUAUCUGACAAACCAGGAGGUUGCAUUCUAGCUCAUGCCCCUAGUUCGGGGAAAACAUUUAUGCUGAUUAGUUUUAUUCAGAGCUUCUUGGCAAAGUAUCCCUCUGGAAGGCCUCUCGUUGUACUCCCUGGCAUAUUAGGUACAUGGAAACGGGAAUUUCAACGGUGGCAAGUGGAGGACAUACCUCUGUAUGAUUUGUGCUCUGUCACUGACAGAGCAGAUCAGUUGGAAAUCCUUAACGCUUGGCAAACCAAUAGGAGUAUCCUCUUGGUUGGAUACACUCAGUUCUCUUGGAUCAUUAAUAGUGAUGGGGCUGUCACCGUCGCAGCUGCAUGCUGGGACAUGUUGCUUAUGGUCUCUAACCUACUUAUAAUGGAUGAGGGCCAUACACCUAGGAAUGAGUCGACGGUGCUAGAAUCACUGUGCAGAGUACAUACUCCACGUAAUGUGGUCCUUACACUUUCCCAGAAUCACGUCGUAGAAGUGUUCAACAUCUUGAACCUUGUACGCCCAGAGUUUCUCAAGAUAGUAGCAUCUCAUCCUAUACUUUCCCAGAAUCACGUAUCAAUAUCAGGUCACAGGAUUUCAAAAGGGGUCUCUGAUAAAUUCACCGAGUCAGUAGAAGAGACCCUACUGCAUGAUGAUAACUUCACGAGAAAAGCACAUGUCAUUAGAAGUCUUAGAGAACUAUCAAAAGAUUUGCUUCACUACUACACGGGUGAUAUCUUGGAUGAACUACCUGGCCUAGUAGACUUCGGUGUCUUCUUGAAACUCAGCCCCAAGCAGAAAUAAAUCGUUCAUAAGUUGGAAGCCUAUGAGAAGAAAAAAAACGCAGUAGGAACUGCCCUGUACAUGCAUCCAUGCCUGUCAGAAAUAUUAGAAGUUGAUGCUGGAGAUAGGGCUUCCAGCUUGACAGGUGUAACUGUUGAUAGUCUGGUCCGGUCUAUCAACGUGGCCGACGGUAAGGCCAGAUUUUUCACCAAUAUCCUGGCACUUGCGGAAUCUGCGAGAGAGAAGGUCAUUGCAUUUAGUCAGUACUUACUUCGCAUGAAUUUUUUGGAAAGGCUAUUGGUUAAGACAAGGGGCUGGCAAGUAGGAAAGGAGUUCUUUGUGACCCGUGGUGAUAAUAAAUCUACUUCAGAAGAUAGACAACUGACAAUGGAUCAGUUUGACAACUCUAUUGAUGCAAAAGUCCUGUUUGGCUCUACCAAGGCAUGUGGGGAGGGCAUCUCCCUGGUCGGCGCAUCAAGAGUCGUCAUUCUAGAUGUUUUGAACCCCUAUGUUACCCGUCAGCCAGUAGAAGAAAGUGUUGGCUCAUAG